AUUGAAACACUGGUUCCUGUAUUAUCACCAACAUUAAGCAACGUUGAGCCUGGUCAGUACCUAGAUGGGUGACUGCCUGGGAACACCAUGUGCCGUAAG